rnacentral:rRNA from 1 species
AUUGAACGCUGGCGGCAGGCCUAACACAUGCAAGUCGAACGAGUGGCGGACGGGUGAGUAAUGUCUGGGAAACUGCCCGAUGGAGGGGGAUAACUACUGGAACCGGUAGCUAAUACCGCAUACCAUCGGAUGUGCCCAGAUGGGAUUAGCUAGUAGGUGGGGUAACGGCUCACCUAGGCGCCGCUCCCUAGCUGGUCUGAGAGGAUGACCAGCCAAACUGGAACUGAGAACCGGUCCAGAAUCCUACGGGAGGCAGCAGGGGGGAAUAUUGCACAAUGGGCGCAAGCCCGAUGCAGCCAUGCCGCGUGUAUGAAGAAGGCCUUCGGGUUGUAAAGGACUUUCAGCGAGGAGGCGUUACUCGCAGAAGAAGCACCGGCUAACUCCGUGCCAGCAGCCGCGGUAAUAC